GUGUCCGUGUUAAUGAAACGCAUCGUCUUUUACGGUGCUCCUCCACUCCUCUGCUUCUCCUUGACACAGCUCGAGCAUAAUUUUACCUUCUCCGUUUCUGAUCAGUAACGGCUGCUUCUACCACUCUUUCUCAUUAAACCCCUAAUUUAAUCCUUCAAUCGAGAGCUAUGCCACCGAUCCGAAUCCCUCUGUUUUACACGUCAUAUAAACCCAACUCCGAAAUCUCUGCUCCUCACAAAAUUGACGAAAUCCUGCAAAAUCACAUCAGGCAAUGGCGACCACCGGGAUUCAAUUAUGUGUUAUAGUGUCUCAGUUGAUCUCUGGAGCCUCGGCUGUGUUUUCUCUGUGAUUCUUACCAGAAGACCACUUCCUAAAGGAAGAACCUAGAUUGAACAAUUUCACAGAAUUACCAGAUGAAGAAUUAUGGGAAAAGAACCAGCUUCAUUCUCAAAUUAAGAUAUUUAGACCACAACAUGAAUAUGAAUGUUGUUUGAGUAAAAGAUUUGAGUAGUUUCUGAAAAAGGCAGUUUCUCUUCAUGGAAUCUAUUAUCUAAUCCAGACAUACGAGGAUCUGCCUCUUCUGCUCUCAUGUGAAAGUACUUUAACACAAAGCCUUACGCUUUGACAUUACCUAAGUACCCUCCUAACAAAGAAAUGGAUUGCUAAGUACCAUGAAGAACUUCAAGAAGGGAAGAGUUGGUACAAAGAAAUUAAAAAAAAAACUUGGUAUUCAACAAUACGGGGAAAUCACAUAAAACAUUCAAAGAGCCUAACAUCUUAAUAAGUCACCAGUCCAACAGGAAGCGAAAAAGGAAGCCCAGACAAAAAUCAUUCUCCCAACGCCACCGGAAACAUCUCAGUGAUGACUUGAACCAAGGAAAUAAAAUGGUGCCGCUACAACACUUACUUAUAAUCAUCCUACUGGAUCUGCGAGCCACGUUAGUAUAAAAGAAGGCAAACUGAGCUUUCUUUGACCGCAAGUUUUGUUUAGACUCCUCUGAUGUGUUACUGUUACCUGGCAAGCAUCACAAGAAAUCAGAAGAGGAUAUCGUGAGUCCAUUAGGCUUUGACGAAAGCUGAGACGGAGCCAAAGAUUUUUUCCACUAAUUGGAUGAAUGAGGUAUUACGGAGGACUGAGAGUGAUACUAGAUUCGGUGUUCGAAGCUAUCAAAAAUAGCAAGAGGUUAAAAUGAGGGAAAAAGAACUACCAUUACUUUUAGAUUAUUUGCACAGUUCGCACCCUGUGUAAAUUACAAAUUUGUCCCAGAUGCGUGUUAGGUUCUAAUGUGAAGUUUAAUUUGUUGAAAUUAUGGUCAUAAGCUUGGUAACCUGGCCGGGAAUUAAUAAGGUAGCCAAUUCAACUUAGUC